AAGAGAAAGGAGCUCCUGAGGGCUCCUUAAUUCGAUGGAUGCAUAUUGCUGACCUUUGGAGACCAGUUAUCCUGCAGUUAUGACCCACUCGGGAGCCCCCGCUUCCUGUCUGGGCCGAGGUUCACCUGCUUCAGCUCCCUCUCUGGCCGAGGAGCACCAUUGCUGGCAAAGAGGGCAUCAAGGAUUUACAAAGAGCAAGCCCCCUUAGGGAACCCACUCUGGGAACUGGGUGACUCUGAAGGAACUGCAGGUGAAGACAAGUUCCACAGUUCUGGUAAGCAGGGAAUACAGGCUUGGACACAUUUUUACCUGUGGUUCCCAUGGACAUGGAUGGGCC
rnacentral:lncRNA from 1 species